AUGGCGGGCGUGCUGCUGCUGCUGCUGCUGCUCCACCUCAUACCGGGGUUGGCAACGGCGAUCGGGUCCAUCUGUGGCGGCGGCCGCAACUACAAAGCCGACAGCACCUACCAGUCCAACCUCGCCGUGCUGGCCGCCACCCUGCCCAGCAACGCCUCCUCCUCCCCACAGCUCUUCAUCACCGCCAACGCCACCGCCUCCUCUUCCCCGCAGCUCUUCGCCAGCGCCAGCGCCAGCAUGUACAUGCUGGCGCUCUGCCGCCGCGACACCACCAACCUCACCGCAUGCACAGAGUGCCUCAACUCCGCGUUAAAUUACGCGCUGAAAAUGUGCCCGAACAGCAGGACCGCAACAGUCUACUUCGACUACGACGAGGUAAACGCGCUUCGACCAGGCUGCCUCCUUGGAUUCUCCGACGACGGCAGCUUCCUCAGCCCGGCGUCCGGCACUACCGGGAACGGUACCUUAUUCCAGUAUUUUAGCACGGCGAACAUCCGCGGCAACGACGGUGUCGUCGCUGAUGCCGUCAGGGAGCUCCUGAGGCAGACGGCACAGGACGCGGCCACCACGGCGAGGAGGUUCGCCACAGCGUUCAUGGACUCCAUUGGCCGCGGCACCACGACAACGCUCUACUCCCUGGCGCAGUGCACGCCGGACCUGUCCACUGGCUACUGCCUGGCGUGCCUCGAGCAGCUCCUGGGCACCGUCACCACCACCAACUCCUUGCGCCUAGGAGGACGGAUCUUCCUGCUCCGCUGCAACGUCAGGUUCGAGGCGUUCAUGUUCUUCGACGACAAAAACAUACGGCGGAUUCCAUCUCCAUCAUUCCUCGCUCAGGCACCGGCGGCGCCUACGGCUACAGCAGGCAAGAGACAUGAAGUCAAACCUUGGGUAAUUGCCUUAUCGGUGGCAGCUCCAGUAGCGCUAGCUGCUCUCUGCUUCAUCCUUUACCAUGGUUGGCAUCUUAGAACAAAGGGCACAAAAGAUAAAGGGACGACGUUGCAAGGAAAGACUACUCACGAGUUUCAAGAAAGAGAUGAACUAGUUUGGGAAAUGGAAACAGAGUUGGCUGAGUUUGCAGUAUUUGACUUUCAUCAGAUAUUAGAGGCUACAGUUAACUUUUCCGAGGAAAACAAGCUUGGCCAAGGUGGAUUUGGCCCUGUUUAUAAGGGCCAUUUACCUGACGGAAAUGAGAUAGCAGUGAAGAGACUUGAUUCACAUUCACAACAAGGUUUCAUUGAGUUCAAAAAUGAAGUUGAGCUCAUAGCGAAACUUCAACACAGAAAUUUGGUUAGGCUCAUGGGAUGUUGCUCUCAAGGAGAGGAGAAAAUACUGGUCUACGAAUACUUGUCAAAUAAAAGCUUGGACUUCUUCAUCUUUGAUGAAAAUAGAAAAGCACUACUGGACUGGGACAUACGUCUUGCAAUAAUUGUGGGGAUAGCAGAAGGACUUCUUUACCUUCAUAAGCACUCUAGGUUGCAUGUUAUACAUCGAGAUCUUAAACCAAGCAACAUUCUCUUGGAUAGCGAAAUGAAUGCAAAAAUUUCAGAUUUUGGACUAGCAAAAAUAUUCAGUUCAAAUAACACCGAAGCAAAUGCUACAAGGAAAGUAGUUGGUACACUUGGCUACAUGGCACCCGAGUAUGCUUUCCACGGUCUCUUCUCUAUCAAAUCAGAUGUCUUCAGCUUCGGUGUUUUGACUCUUGAGAUCCUUAGCGGGAAAAGGAAUUCUCAUGAAUGUGGAAAUUUCAUCAACCUCCUUGGACAUGCUUGGCAAUUAUUUGAAGAGGAAAGCUGGGUCGAUCUCAUUGAUACGGCAUUGCUUCCCAACGGUCAUUCGGAAGAAAUGAUGAGGUGCAUUAACAUUGCAUUGUUAUGUGUACAAGAGAGUGCAAUUGAUCGACCAACCAUGUUGGAUGUUGUCGCAAUGCUAAGCAGCAAGACCAUGAUCGUAGAUAAGCCUAAGCACCCGGCAUAUUUCACGGGGGACAAAGAAGCACCCACUACAAAUCAGUCGUGUAGUGUUAAUGAUAUAACUAUAUCUACACUAACCCCUAGAUAG
rnacentral:rRNA from 1 species